rnacentral:sRNA from 12 species
CCCUGACAGUCGCCUGAUGCGGCUGACAUUUGCCACGACAGGAGACUCACAUG